rnacentral:rRNA from 1 species
GACGAACGCUGGCGGCGUGCUUAACACAUGCAAGUCGAACGAGGUCCAUUCAGUCGCAAGACUGCGGAAGAUCUAGUGGCGAACGGGUGCGUAACACGUGAGAAACCUGUCCCGGUCUCUGGAAUAACAAGUGGAAACACUUGCUAAUACCGGAUGCCGUCGGACCAUCGCAUGAUGGACUGACGAAAGGGCUACCGGAUCGGGAGGGUCUCGCGGCCUAUCAGCUUGUUGGUGAGGUAACGGCUCACCAAGGCAUCGACGGGUAGCUGGUCUGAGAGGAUGAUCAGCCACACUGGGACUGAGACACGGCCCAGACUCCUACGGGAGGCAGCAGUGGGGAAUCUUGCACAAUGGGCGAAAGCCUGAUGCAGCAACGCCGCGUGCGGGAAGAAGGCCCUAGGGUUGUAAACCGCUUUCAGCAGGGAAGAAACUGACGGUACCUGUAGAAGAAGGUGCGGCCAACUACGUG